CCCAUACAAAUCUUGAAGCACUCAAUUCUCUAUCAUCCAUUUGCAUAUAUAGAUCCCAAAGUGUUUUAUAUACUAUCAUUCGUAUGCCUACCUACAUAAAUCUUAAAACAUCAUAUCCUUUGUUCUUCGUCUGUCUAUAUAGAUCUUAAAGCAUAUUAUCCUCUAUUAUUUAUCUGUUUGUAUGGAUCUCUUAAGGUGCUCCAUCUUUGGUA
rnacentral:lncRNA from 1 species